rnacentral:rRNA from 1 species
AGAGUUUGAUCCUGGCUCAGAUUGAACGCUGGCGGCAGGCUUAACACGUGCAAGUCGAGCGGAGAUGAGGUGCUUGCACCUUAUCUUAGCGGCGGACGGGUGAGUAAUGCUUAGGAAUCUGCCAUUUAGUGGGGGACAACAUUCCGAAAGGGAUGCUAAUACCGCAUACGUCCUACGGGAGAAAGCAGGGGAUCUUCGGACCUUGCGCUAAAUGAUGAGCCUAAGUCGGAUUAGCUAGUUGGUGGGGUAAAGGCCUACCAAGGCGACGAUCUGUAGCGGGUCUGAGAGGAUGAUCCGCCACACUGGGACUGAGACACGGCCCAGACUCCUACGGGAGGCAGCAGUGGGGAAUAUUGGACAAUGGGCGGAAGCCUGAUCCAGCCAUGCCGCGUGUGUGAAGAAGGCCUUUUGGUUGUAAAGCACUUUAAGCGAGGAGGAGGCUACCUGGAUUAAUACUCUGGGAUAGUGGACGUUACUCGCAGAAUAAGCACCGGCUAACUCUGUGCCAGCAGCCGCGGUAAUACAGAGGGUGCGAGCGUUAAUCGGAUUUACUGGGCGUAAAGCGUGCGUAGGCGGCUUUUUAAGUCGGAUGUGAAAUCCCCGAGCUUAACUUGGGAAUUGCAUUCGAUACUGGGAAGCUAGAGUAUGGGAGAGGAUGGUAGAAUUCCAGGUGUAGCGGUGAAAUGCGUAGAGAUCUGGAGGAAUACCGAUGGCGAAGGCAGCCAUCUGGCCUAAUACUGACGCUGAGGUACGAAAGCAUGGGGAGCAAACAGGAUUAGAUACCCUGGUAGUCCAUGCCGUAAACGAUGUCUACUAGCCGUUGGGGCCUUUGAGGCUUUAGUGGCUCAGCUAACGCGAUAAGUAGACCGCCUGGGAGUACGGUCGCAGACUAAAACUCAAUGAAUUGACGGGGCCCGCACAAGCGGUGAGCAUGUGGAUUAUUCGAUGCACGCGAGACCUUACUGACUGACAUACUAGAACUUCAGA